UCUUAUGGAUGAGCAAGGAAAGUGGUUUCUUAAGUUGGAAUCUACUCCUGGUGAAGAUGCUGUGAA
rnacentral:pre_miRNA from 1 species